GCAGGGGGCACUGUUGGGCUCUGGCGGUCACCACGCGAGGAGAGGUCUGGGGGGUGGUCUCGGAUCACGGGAGAAGCCGAAAAGAAAAUGGGGACCCUUCCCCCAAUGGAAGAAGGGCAGAAGGAAAAGCACAAGUCUGAACUCC